UAUUUUGUAUCAAUGGCUAAGAUUUUGACACAUGUCAAGAAUCCAAUGGCCAUGUAGUCCUAUAAAUAGAGGCCCUUGCCUCACACCUUGGGUAGUAGAGAAUAAGAAAGUGAAGAAGGUGGAGAACAAGGUGUGAGCAAGUGUAAGCUAUACACAAUGCAGAACUGGAGUUGUUGGCUACAGGAUUGGGGCUAUGGGCCUAUGCACACGCAAUUAUUUGAGGCGAUUAAUGCUGCACCAAUCAAAAUAACGUUUGCCUUCAUUCGAAUUUGUCAAGGGAAUCCUACCUGCUAGGCUGCUAAUAAACCCCUUCCUUGCGCCAUUAUUUUUGAGGAGAUAUAAUGUGCAAGACAGAGAAUGCACGUGUAGUUGGUUAUGCAUGACAAUCACUUGAACUUGUGAAUAGAUGAUGUUUUCAAACA